rnacentral:rRNA from 1 species
CCUACGGGUGGCUGCAGUGGGGGAUAUUGCACAAUGGGGGAAACCCUGAUGCAGCGACGCCGCGUGUGGGAAGACGGUCUUCUGGAUUGUAAACCACUGUCCCCAGGGACGAAAAUGACGGUACCUGGGGAGGAAGCUCCGGCUAACUACGUGCCAGCAGCCGCGGUAAUACGUAGGGAGCAAGCGUUAUCCGGAUUUACUGGGUGUAAAGGGCGUGUAGGCGGGCAUGCAAGCCAGAAGUGAAAUCUGGGGGCUUAAACCCCAAACUGCUUUUGGAACUGCGUGUCUUGAGUGAUGGAGAGGCAGGCGGAAUUCCCAGUGUAGCGGUGAAAUGCGUAGAUAUUGGGAGGAACACCAGUGGCGAAGGCGGCCUGCUGGACAUUAACUGACGCUGAGGCGCGAAAGCGUGGGGAGCAAACAGGAUUAGAUACCCUAGUAGUCC